GCACUGCUUAAGCGUCUCACAAUAGGACGAAACGGCCGUCCAGUGC
rnacentral:hammerhead_ribozyme from 1 species